GUGCAGGGGUGAAAGGUGAAGGAGACCGGAAGUAUAAAGGGGUGAAAGGUGAGGGGGCUGAAGGAGACGGAAGUGUGGGAGUGUGAGGUGAAAAGUGAAGGAAAGCCAAAUUGUCCUCAUUGUCGUCAGUUGCAAACACCUCAAGUGGAAAAGCUGAAACUAUAAGACUGUUCUUUAGCGAUGAGGAAAGUGAGUCCCUGACGAGCUGACUGGAUGUGCCGCGUGCGGGGCCGGCCCUCCUCGCCUCCCCGAGAAGGCCCCCUAGCCAGCGUGGAGCACGGAACCCCACCAUCCCCAGAUUCUCCUCACAAUGGCCCUUGGUGCUGCAGGUGCAGUGGGCUCCGGGCCCGGGCACCGAGGGGGCACUGGAUGACUCCCCUGCUGCAGGACCCUUCCACCUAUGACUCCAGGCCUUCAGCACCCACCCGCCGUGGUACAGGUAGGCGCUGCCCCCAUGGCCCCAAACCCAGAAGCAGGAGCCCUGGGACCCCACUGAGAGGUGCUGGCUCUUGACCUCCAGUCAUAACCCAAGGCCCCCUCUUGGCAUUUCUGUCCCGCCCAAGCCGUACCUAUGACAUGCUUCUUCCCAUCCCCUCCCACUGCUGGGCCAUCCCCCAGAUCCUGCUGACAUCUCCUCCCACCCUUCCACUA
rnacentral:lncRNA from 1 species